AAGGGGGGUUCAUGAAUUUGAACUCCAUGCGACUCUCUGACGACUGGUUUGGCCUUCUGGUAGACUUGCUUAGUUGAUCGAGGAAGCAAAAGCCAGGUCAAACGUCGGCUUUGAUAAGCAACCGUGCCUAGCUCGGGCUGCGACUGAGAGCUCCGCCCCGACUUCGUCUCCGUGCGACUCGGACGGGCGGGAGAGAAGUGGAGCCAUCGUGAUAGUGAAUGCAUGAAACCAUAGACCCUGGCUCUCCCCUUUUCGACUUCCCCUUUGAUCUGCCUCUGCUCUUCUUCCUAGUGGAAGAAGAAUAAGAAGACGAAAGGGGAGAGAGGCGACUUUCCCGUCAGAAUAGGGUUAUGAGGGGUAACGCUCCGACGAGGGGGUUCACCUUCGUAGGCCUAGUUAUCAUGAUGGUCAUUGGUUGUACAGUCUACUUGAAGCUCUGGAGUGUCAGUUCUUACAUCUCCUUGCGAGAUGCAGAAAUCAUGAGGUCAUCUCUCUCUCUCCCCCCCCACUCUGUCUCAUGAAUAAACAGAAUCCUGGAUGCUUGAUUAGGACUCGCAGAUCGCAAUUCGAGCGCGCCCAAAAUGAAGCUUUGGACGAAUCGGCCGAGUGGAGGAUGAAAUAUGACGAAGAAGUGCAGAGAUCUGGCAAGUACCUGCAGGAAUUGGUUCGAGUGAGAGAAGAACUUGAGAAGAAGAUAGAGGAAACUGAGAAAUCAAAAAGUGACCUAGCCGUUCUGCAAAAGGAAAAGCAGAGCCUGCAUAAAAGGACGGAGUCUUUGUUGCAUGAGCUUCAAUCUGUGAAGAUGAAAUGCCAUAUAUGAGAGACCUUAGAUAGAUGGUCGUGCAGCUUGGGAUUCUGUAACGAUAAAGGACAACAUGGAGCAAUCCAGGAGCAACUUGCAAGUGGCUCUAUUCCAUACCUGUAGGUGCAAUGUGCAGGGGGUUCGUUUUCUAUGUUGGCGGUGGGAUGAUAGAUGUUACAUACUAUCUGUCAGCAUGGGAUGAGGUGUCUUUGGUUGUCUAGAUAUGGCAGCUUGAAAUCUUUUUCGUUGAUGCAUGUCAUCUCGAAACUUUUUCUUGUCCAUACAUGUCUGCUGUUGGCAGUCCUAAUUUUUGUGCCUUAUCCGAUUGAUGCGAUGAUUACCCCGACAUGGAAAGUUCAAUUCAUGUCAGGUUGUAACAUGGUGCCUCAUCUUUCAUCUAAGGUUCAGUGCUGUUGAGCUAGGUUAGAAGAAACGUAAAGAACAGCUUCUAAUUCACGAAGAAACCUUUGAUGGUCUGGACCAGGGCCGGUCCAUGUCCUGUUUCUGUAGUAACAAUUAUUUCCCCCCUAUAUUUAUUAUUACCAUUUCAUCAUGUUA